AUGAUAAAGAUCGUCGACGUAUUCACUGGUCGAGUUGGGAGAAACUUACAAAACGUAAAAGCCAAGGAGGUAUGGGAUUCAAAGACCUUAAAGUUUUUAACCAGGCUCUCCUCGCUAGGCAAGCCUGGCGACUUAUUGCACCUCCGGACAGCUUGUGCGCGAGAGUACUUAAGGCAACAUACUACCAUGGGACUGAUCUGCUAG
rnacentral:rRNA from 1 species